AGCUUCCAACAACAACAUCCCAACUUCAAAAACAAAAAAAAAACAAAAAACCCCACGUUUGAUUUUUCCUGAUUAGAGCUUCCAACAAGACCCAACCUUCCCCCCUCCACCCACCCAAAAAAAAGCAAAAAAAAAAAAAAAAGAAAAGGAAAAAGAAAAAGAAAAAAAAAGAAGACUUGGGUUUUGUCAAGGAGAUGAAUUUCAGAAGCCUGGAAGAGUUCUGGCCAUUCUACGUUACCCAGCACUCGAAGCGAUCGACUCGCCGCUGGCAUUUCAUUGGUACCCUCUCCGCCUCCCUCGUAUUCAUCUACUCUCUCCUCUUCAACUGGUGGGUCUUCUUCUCCGUUCCCCUCUUUGGCUACGGCUUUGCAUGGUAUAGCCACUUCUUUGUUGAAGGAAAUGUCCCUGCCACGUUCGGCCACCCGUUCUGGUCUCUUGUAUGCGAUUUCAAGAUGUUUGGAUUGAUGAUCACCGGUCAGAUGGAUAAGGAGAUCAAACGGCUCGGGAAGAGGCCUGUCUUGCAGGCCUUUUGAAUACUUUUGCAUGACCCAAAGAACCUCAAAAGGCAACAGAAUACUAUCCCAAACCCCGGAAGCAAAGGAGCUAUGGAUAAAAGGCAUGUAGAUCUUAUUCUAUUUCUUUGUCUUGGGGAUCAUCGUCAUCGUCAUCUAAGCCUUAUCUUAAUUAGGGUUGGAUACAAAAAUCCUGUUCCGGGAUGCAUUUGAAAAUGGAUGAAGCUAAUCAAUGUUGGUCAGAAACAAGUGGCAUUGCAAGCGAUUCAUGAUCUUCAUUUCAAAGAGGUAUAGGGCAUGACAGAAGACCCCAGAAAGGAUUAUGCCAAGUUAAGUGAAGCGGCAGGUUUACCAAGGAUGGCCUGAUUCAGUAUCAUAUUGUUUUCACCAGGAAGAAGUCAUAAAAUAUAUUAGGCAGCUAUCCACUAAGAGCGCAGAGCGGCUUGAAGCCAGGCGCAAUCCUUGGAAGAUGCUUUGGAUGUUGAUGAUUUGCAAGCAGACAAAAGGCCUAGAUAAUGCUAAGUCAUGUCAGUGGUGAGAAAGGCUGAGAUAGGUCUGACCAGGAGCUUGUAAUGGAUGUGGAUUGCAUCCUAUCCCGGCCCAUCCCUAGCCACGAACGGGCAGUUCUGUGGGCGGGCCCACCAUGAUUUAUCUGUUUAUCCACACCAUCCAUCCCUUCUCUCAGAUCAUUUUAAGGUAUGAACACAAAAAUGACGCAGAUCCAAUGCUCAAGUGGACCACACCACAGCUGACUCUUGCAUUUAAUGCAACCCAAGCUUAUUAUUUGGUGUGGUCCACUUGAGCGUUGGAUUUGCCUCAUUUUUGUGCAUAUAGCUUAAAAUGGUCUAAAAGAAGGGACGAAUGGCGUGGAUAAAUAGAUACAUCACGGUGGGCCUGCCGCCCACAGAACUGCCCGUUCGUGGGCAGAGACGAGCGGGGUAGGAUGCAAUUUACGUUUGAUUGUAACUCCAUGGUUCAAAUUUUUAUGGGAAACAAACAAAAUUGUGCUUGAAAUAUUACAUAACAACUCAAAAAUAGAAGCUUUAUGAAUGGUAAGCUGUUUGUCCUUGCAUAUUUAGAGUAGGUCUAUGCACUUGCAUUUAUUAAAACAUUUUACACUUGAAUCACUAGAUUUGUUCUUUAACUUUGAAUUUUCAUCAACUUCCUUCAGUUAGUAUUGGGGUUAGCAAGCAAGGUCAUAAACAUUUUACUUGUGUUUGCAAUUUUGCAUGUCUCAUUUUUACAAUGCUUUGGAUAUUUAUUCUCUCAUAAAUAAUCCGUCUUUCUUUAUCAAGAUUUCUUGUUUAAGAAGUUCCUAUAUAUGAAACUGUUGUGUUGGUGAGACACAUCUAAAUAUCAGUUUUGUAAUGAGCUUAGCAUCUUUCUUGAAGACUUCUUCUACUAAUGUUUAAAUACCCUUACUUGAGUCCCAGCAAAUGAAAGCUCACCUACUUUAUAAAGGAUUAGAGUCUGGUGUUGACGUGUGGGCCCCAUCCAAACUAAAGUCGACCAGCUUGGGUGUUAUUAGUUAAUCAGCCAGCUUUCGAAUGCUAAUUGUACACUUGAGUUUCCUUGGGGCACAUGGGAACUCUUGGGACAAAUCAAGUAAGAUCUGGAAGCUCAUCUAGUGGGUCACAUGAUAUGUGGGCAAUGGCCAUGGGACGAUUCAAACCACUGGAGUGGAAGUGGGCAAUGGCCAUGGUAUAAUUCAGACCACUAGAGUGGAAGGUUUAAAAAUGGGAUUGGUGGUUGACUGUCCAACCGAAACCGGUCUGAUUUUUUAGCCACCUAGCAUAUAUAGUGGUACUUUCCGGCUAAUUCAGAUCUCAUAUGCAUUGCAUCACAAUGGUUGGACAAAACGUGCCUGGCCAUGAAAACUGCAUGAUCAUGAGUUGAUUUAUAUAAACAGGCGGCGAAUAUUGAAAAGGCUGAAAACUGGCCAAGAAGAGAAAUGCAGAGGAGAAAGUGAAGAUGUAUAAGACCACUCAUUGGCAGAGGUAUGGAGAGAAUGAAUUGGAAGAGAACAAGAGAAUCCUCUUGAUUGAGAGAGGUAGAGAGAGAAUAAAUUGAAAGAAAGCGAGAGAAAUUCUCUUAAGAAUCUUGCAGCUACUCGCCCAGCUGGGCAAAGAGGUCAAUGUAACCCACACAUCAGAGCCCGUGGCCCUUGUUGUGGCAUCAACAAUAACAAACAUGCUUGGAAAAUAUGUGCGAAGGUUACGAUAUGAAAAAAUCAAAGGCUCGCGCGUAGUCACACUUAUAAUAUCAGAUUAUGAGGGCAGACAUGACAAUGGCCCACUCAAUUCUGAUGACAGGUGUUAUAGCGAUAAACGCAUGUCAACAUUUUUUUGGUGGUGACAGUCCGGAUCCCGGUUCUAGUGAUAUGUUGCAUGGUGAAAGAUACAGUUUGUAUUGAAUACUGAAUUUUCUUUUUUAGAUAGUGUUGAAUAAU